rnacentral:rRNA from 1 species
AUUGAACGCUGGCGGAACGCUUUACACAUGCAAGUCGAACGGUAACGUGGGGAGGAGCUUGCUCCACCCCGACGACGAGUGGCGAACGGGUGAGUAAUACAUCGGAACGUGUCCGCUCGUGGGGGACAACCAGCCGAAAGGUUGGCUAAUACCGCAUGAGUUCUACGGAAGAAAGAGGGGGACCCGCAAGGGCCUCUCGCGAGCGGAGCGGCCGAUGACUGAUUAGCCGGUUGGUGAGGUAACGGCUCACCAAAGCAACGAUCAGUAGCUGGUCUGAGAGGACGACCAGCCACACUGGGACUGAGACACGGCCCAGACUCCUACGGGAGGCAGCAGUGGGGAAUUUUGGACAAUGGGCGCAAGCCUGAUCCAGCUAUUCCGCGUGUGGGAUGAAGGCCCUCGGGUUGUAAACCACUUUUGUAGAGAACGAAAAGACAUCUUCGAAUAAAGGAUGU